rnacentral:snRNA from 1 species
AAUAAAAACUCGUUUGGAGAAACA